UACGUAGGGUCCGAGCGUUGUCCGGAAUUAUUGGGCGUAAAGGGCUCGUAGGCGGUUUGUCACGUCGGGAGUGAAAACUCAGGGCUUAACCCUGAGCGUGCUUCCGAUACGGGCUGACUAGAGGGAUGCAGGGGAGAACGAAUUCCUGGUGUAGCGGUGGAAUGCGCAGAUAUCAGGAGGAACACCGGUGGCGAAGGCGGUUCUCUGGGCAUUUCCUGACGCUGAGGAGCGAAAGCAUGGGGAGCGAACAGG
rnacentral:rRNA from 1 species